rnacentral:rRNA from 1 species
GUGUCAGCCGCCGCGGUAAUACGUAGGUGGCAAGCGUUGUCCGGAAUUACUGGGUGUAAAGGGAGCGUAGGCGGGUGUUUAAGUUGAAUGUUUAAACUAUCGGCUCAACCGGUAGUCGCGUUCAAAACUGAGCAUCUUGAGUGAAGUAGAGGCAGGCGGAAUUCCUAGUGUAGCGGUGAAAUGCGUAGAUAUUAGGAGGAACACCAGUGGCGAAGGCGGCCUGCUGGGCUUUUACUGACGCUGAGGCUCGAAAGCAUGGGGAGCAAACAGGAUUAGAUACCCUGGUAGUCCAUGCCGUAAACGAUGAUUACUAGGUGUGGGGGGACUGACCCCUUCCGUGCCGCAGUUAACACAAUAAGUAAUCCACCUGGGGAGUACGGCCGCAAGGUUGAAACUCAAAUAAAUUGACGG